rnacentral:rRNA from 1 species
UACAGAGGAUGCAAGCGUUAUCCGGAAUGAUUGGGCGUAAAGCGUCUGUAGGUGGCUUUUUAAGUCCGCCGUCAAAUCCCAGGGCUCAACUCUGGACAGGCGGUGGAAACUACCAAGCUGGAGUACGGUAGGGGCAGAGGGAAUUUCCGGGGGAGCGGUGAAAUGCGCAGAUAUCAGGAGGAACACCGAUGGCGAAGGCAGGUCUCUGGGCCAGAACUGACGCUGAGAAGCGAAAGCAUGGGGAGCGAACAGG